GUGCAAACUCAAUCACUGUCUCUGCAUGAUGUGGCAGGAGCUCAGGAAACCAGGUUUGCUAAAGUAAUCAUGGCGAUAGGAAUGUAUUCGCCUCAGAUGUUACUGAGGUUGCCCAUUCUAUUCUAGUACAGGA
ensembl:snoRNA SNORA66 Small nucleolar RNA SNORA66